rnacentral:lncRNA from 1 species
AGGCACAAAAGAAGUAGACCAAGGAGACUGAAGGUGGUUAUGAAGACCAUGCAUCUCUGAGGUCAUCUUAAACAAAGAUGAUCCAAACCUCUGAUCUUCAAAUAGCCGGUGUGAACUGCUUAACAAAACACCCUGGGAAAACUCAGUCUGAAACAAACAGCUCGGUGGUUUGAUUUCAUUAGUUCCUGGGUUAGAACUGGUAUGGAGUGAAAAAUCUUCAUUCAUUUCUUGGUCAGAUGGAGAGAGGAGAAAAAAAGAAGUGGGUUUCCAUUCAUUUCCAUUUUCUAACUGAUCAGUAGUUAGAGAACCUUUGGAAAGGUUUGGCUUAGUUCUUUCAUCCAACUUAUCUGGUUCCUCAAGAAAUUCACUGCCUUGAGAGGACUUUGAUAACCCAUCCAAAUCUACUGACUUAAAACCGUUAUUACAAGGGCUCUUGCUGUUGUCUGACUCCGACAUCAUUGAAUCCAACUCAGAUAUUUUGUCAAGGUAAGCUGCGUCCAUUGAUGCUUCACUGGAUGUUCUUGUCCGAUUCAUUUCAAAACAGCGAAUAGAAUUCAACCUCUUGGAUAUGCAUGAGCCUGAUUUCUCACUUAAUUUUAAAGAAAUUUCUCCAACAGAAUUUGCUAUUGUGUUUCCCUCUGAGCUUUCAAAAUCCAAGCUCUGGGCAUAGCUCGUGGAACAACAAUCCCAAAACCCUGUCUUUGAGGAAGUAAAACAUUCUGAUUUCUUUUCAUUUUCACUUCUAUCAUCUUCUGAUGAAUCUUUAGUACAAACAUUCGAAGAAUCACAAAAAUCAUCAAACACCAAUUUUCUGAGAUGGUUUGAGUGCUUUUUGGAACCCACUGCUUUGACCACAGAGCUCUCUCUAUUUUCUGGAGUACUGAGCUGAAGGCAACUAAGGGACAAAGGAGUACAAGGAGCUGGAAGAUCAUAAAGUUCUUCAUCUUUGUAGGGUAUACAAUCACUUGGCUUAUUACCCCAUUCUCUUUCCAAGUAAGUAUCCAUACUUGUAUCUGUCACAUCUAACAUUAUUUCCACCCGUUUCUGAUACAGGUCUUUGUUCUUAGAACAAUUUGGUUCUGUUUUGCUGGUGCUUUCCUGCCUGGCAGAACUGCUGGAAGGCUUUGGCAGGUGAGAACUUGAGGUGGAUGAGCCAAGCUGCUUUCUGGCACCAUCACCUUGAUUCUUUGAUGCCAUAUCCUCCUCACCGCCUAGGCUCCCCUUGCCAUCUGUAGAAAGUGCUCUCUGGCAAAUGGAAUUUAUAGCUUCCUUCUCUUCACUUGAAUUUUUUAGCUGUGCAAUCUGAGAUUCUAGUUCCUCUAUAUAUUUAUCACUUCGUUCCAGGGCUUUCUUGAGGCGAUUGGUUUCACGUUCAUGCUGUUCUACUUUGGACUGAAGAGCAGCUACUGUAAACCUUCCAAACCUGCAAGGAAUGGAAGGACAGUUAACUUUACAGUUCAAGCUUUUUUCUUUCUUUUUCAAAGUUAAGGGUGCAAACUAUGUCAGCCCAUUCUAAUCUCACAUACCAGUGACCUUUCAGACCAGUCGAUGGAACAGUUCAAAAGCAAUACCAGACAGAUGUAGUAUCUUCAAAAAAGAGUUUCUGCACUGUAUGUAAUAAUAUGCAUAUGAUAAUACUGGCAAAGAUCUCGUAGGAUACUUUUGUGGUCAAAUAAGACUAGUAAUGGCAGAGAGGCAGAAACUCACUGCUGACUUCCCUUCCAAGAGCUAGCUCUAUCAAUUCAGCUCAUAUAUGCAUGCAGGGUUAUCCCCUAAAACAAUGGCAAAGAUUUAUGAUAACAUUUGAACAGUGGUCCACAUCUUGAAAUAUUUACAUUCAAUCAUUUUCCUAUCGUACAGCAGUGUUUUACAAUACAUUUCUUGUACAAUGUCACCUUGUCAAACAUAAAAUGCCAAUUUGAAAUUCAGAAAUCUUAGCAGUCCCAGCAGGGGUGGUUUUAAAUACUUAUUUGGACCCUUUCAAUUAUAGCCACCCUUGAUCUGAAGCUUUUACUUGGCCUUCUGAACACUGGGCUUUAAUUCAUUUCAUUUCUACUUAUUUUGGCAUUUUACAACUGUGUGGGACAUCAAUCUCAUUUCUUCCAACUUUGAAAUACAAAGUCAGUACCUGUGGUUCCAAUAUAUUACGCAUAAAAACAUUUUUACAUUUCCUGGAAAGGAACAUUUUGGAGAGUAAAUGAAAAAGAACACAUCAAAAAUUCACUUCUUUUACUCAGCAUUAUCUUGUUUUCAUUAUUCCCUUAAGAAUGGGUACUGGGUUCAGCUCAGAAAAUGCUUCUGAGCACCUAGUACAGGCUCAUGGUAUUAUCCAGAGUGGGGGAUGCAAACAUCAAUAAGACUGUCCCAGCUCCAAUGGAUAUAAAAUGCCUACCUUAAAUUCCAUCUGAACACCAAAGAAAAUUCCAUCUUUCAAGAAAACUGCUUCUUACAAGCCAAUAAACGUAAGCCUUACAUUCUAUUCUAACCCCGUGAAAAAUAUUUCUUGCCACAGAAGUUCUUUUAAAAAGCCUCCUUUUAAUCAUCUUUUUGAUGACUUAAAUAUUGAUCCAUCUUGAAGAAUUCACGGAUUGUCUGGAGGGAAGUAUUUGAGAAGUUAACAACUACUACUACUUCUUCUUCUUCUUCUUCUUCUUCUUCUUCUUCUUCUUCUUCUUCUUCUUUUCAGUUUACUUACUUAUUUUGAGUGAGCGACAGAGAGUGCAUCUGCAUGCGAGCAAGUUAGGGAAGGCCAGAGAGAGAGGGAGAGAGAAUCCCAAGCAGGCUCCAGGCUGUUAGCACAGAGCCCUAUGUGGGGGCUUGAAUCCACAAACUGUGAGAUCAUAACCUGAGCCAAAAUCGAGUCAGACACUUAACCAACUGAGCCACCCAGGUGCCCCAACAAGGUAACUUCUAAAAAUUGUUUCUACCUAUGGGUUUAUCUUUUUCUUCCUUUUCCCCCUAAUUAUAAAAGUAUUACAAGUAAGAAAAUGUACUAGGUAUUAAAAAAAAAAAAACAUAAAGGAGAGGAAAUCCACAGCAACUACCUUUUAGAGUCAACCACUACAUGUUGUAUGCCUCUCACUCAAUGCCCAACACCUUCUCCUACAUACAGCCCAAUUCAUGCUGUAGUUCACUCUGACACAAUCCCUGCUCUGGCUGGUCACUAAGAGUAAAAAGUGGGGCAAAGGUAAAUAUAGAUUCAUAAAAUCUCAGAGUUAGAAAGGGCCUUAAAAGACACGGUACUGAAUAUUGAUCUACUCAUUGCAACUAACUGAACUCCCGGAAAGAGCACACUCCCUUCUAAAAAACAAAGCAAAAACCACAGGUAUAACAAAAACAAAACCAAAUACAAUAAUAAGCCUCCCUAUUUUAAAGACAAAGUUUACUACUAUGAAUAUCUGGUUAAAUGAAUGCUAGUAGUUUUUCUUUCUUUGUUAGAGACAAAUGUUUGGUUUGUAAAUGCUAUAGUUGAAAGAGCUAUAGUUUCUGUGAGAGAAUUUUAAAGAGUGAACAAAGAUCUUAAGGACAUCAGCAAAAAUGUUAGUGAGUUCUUGACUGUAACCACUGUGGCAUAAUCAAAUAACCCACAUAUUUUUAAAUGGAAAAACUGUGUAUCAUGUUUUUUUAAUGCGAACGGCAAAAGUGACAGCCUUAAAAUUAGCUUAUCAAAAGUUUUUUUCUUAAGUGCAAUUUUUACAAUAAAGGUA